rnacentral:tRNA from 4 species
GCCCCGAUAGCUCAGCUGGAUAGAGCAGGAGACUUCUAAGCUCAAGGCCGCAGGUUCGAACCCUGCUCGGGGUACCA